rnacentral:rRNA from 1 species
UACGUAGGGUGCAAGCGUUAAUCGGAAUUACUGGGCGUAAAGCGUGCGCAGGCGGCUAUGCAAGACAGAUGUGAAAUCCCCGGGCUCAACCUGGGAACUGCAUUUGUGGCUGCAUGGCUAGAGUGCGGCAGAGGGGGAUGGAAUUCCGCGUGUAGCAGUGAAAUGCGUAGAUAUGCGGAGGAACACCGAUGGCGAAGGCAAUCCCCUGGGCCUGCACUGACGCUCAUGCACGAAAGCGUGGGGAGCAAACAGG